AGUGAACGCUGGCGGUAGGCCUAACACAUGCAAGUCGAACGGCAGCACAGUAAGAGCUUGCUCUUACGGGAGGCGAGUGGCGGACGGGUGAGGAAUACAUCGGAAUCUACUUUUUCGUGGGGGAUAACGUAGGGAAACUUACGCUAAUACCGCAUACGACCUACGGGUGAAAGCAGGGGAUCUUCGGACCUUGCGCGAUUGAAUGAGCCGAUGUCGGAUUAGCUAGUUGGCGGGGUAAAGGCCCACCAAGGCGACGAUCCGUAGCUGGUCUGAGAGGAUGAUCAGCCACCCUGGAACUGAGACACGGUCCAGACUCCUACGGGAGGCAGCAGUGGCGAAUAUUGGACAAUGGGCGCAAGCCUGAUCCAGCCAUACCGCGUGGGUGAAGAAGGCCUUCCGGUUGUAAAGCCCUUUUGUUGGGAAAGAAAAGCAGCAGGUUAAUACCCCGCUGUUCUGACGGUACCCAAAGAAUAAGCACCGGCUAACUUCGUG
rnacentral:rRNA from 1 species